rnacentral:rRNA from 1 species
UAGGGAAUAUUGCACAAUGGGCGAAAGCCUGAUGCAGCAACGCCGCGUGUGCGAUGAAGGCCUUCGGGUCGUAAAGCACUUUUCUGGGAGAUGAGAAAGGACAGUAUCUCAGGAAUAAGUCUCGGCUAACUACGUGCCAGCAGCCGCGGUAAAACGUAGGAGGCGAGCGUUAUCCGGAUUCACUGGGCGUAAAGCGCGUGCAGGUGGCUUGGUAAGUUAGGCGUGAAAUCUCCCGGCUCAACUGGGAGAGGUCGUCUAGUACUACCGGGCUAGAGAGCAGAAGAGGAAGAUGGAAUUCCCGGUGUAGUGGUGAAAUGCGUAGAUAUCGGGAGGAACACCAGUGGCGAAGGCGAUCUUCUGGUCUGUUUCUGACACUCAGACGCGACAGCUAGGGUAGUAAACGGGAUUAGAGACCCCGGUAAUCCUAGCCGUAAACGAUGUGAACUUGGCGUUGGUGGGUUAAACUCCAUCAGUGCCGCAGCAAACGCGAA